GAUCGUAAAGCUCUGUUGCCNGGGAAGAACGCUAUGGAGAGUAACUGUUCCAUAGGUGACGGUACCUGAGAAGAAAGCCCCGGCUAACUACGUGCCAGCAGCCGCGGUAAUACGUAGGGGGCAAGCGUUGUCCGGAAUUAUUGGGCGUAAAGCGCGCGCAGGCGGUCAUGUAAGUCUGGUGUUUAAACCCGGGGCUCAACUCCGGGUCGCAUCGGAAACUGUGUGACUUGAGUGCAGAAGAGGAAAGUGGAAUUCCACGUGUAGCGGUGAAAUGCGUAGAGAUGUGGAGGAACACCAGUGGCGAAGGCGA
rnacentral:rRNA from 1 species